rnacentral:rRNA from 1 species
GCAAGCGUUGUUCGGAUUUACUGGGCGUAAAGGGCGCGUAGGCGGCGCAACAAGUCACUUGUGAAAUCUCCGGGCUUAACCCGGAGCGGCCAAGUGAUACUGUCGUGCUAGAGUGCGGAAGGGGCUACUGGAAUUCUCGGUGUAGCGGUGAAAUGCGUAGAUAUCGAGAGGAACACCUGCGGCGAAGGCGGGUUGCUGGGCUGAUACUGACGCUGAGGCGCGAAAGCCAGGGGAGCGAACGGG